rnacentral:rRNA from 1 species
GAUGAACGCUGGCGGCGUGCCUAACACAUGCAAGUCGAGCGGCAGCGAGGGGUGCUUGCACCCUGUCGGCGAGCGGCGGACGGCUGAGUAACGCGUGGGAACGUGCCCCAAAGUGAGGAAUAACUGCCCGAAAGGGUAGCUAAUACCGCAUAUUAUCUUCGGAUCAAAGGAUUUAUCCGCUUUGGGAGCGGCUCGCGUCGGAUUAGGUAGUUGGUGAGGUAAUGGCUCACCAAGCCGACGAUCCGUAGCUGGUCUGAGAGGAUGACCAGCCAGACUGGAACUGAGACACGGUCCAGACUCCUACGGGAGGCAGCAGUGAGGAAUCUUCCACAAUGGGCGAAAGCCUGAUGGAGCAACGCCGCGUGCAGGACGAAGGCCUUCGGGUUGUAAACUGCUUUUAUAAGUAAGGAAUAUGACGGUAACUUAUGAAUAAGGAUCGGCUAACUACGUG